UACAGAGGGUGCUAGCGUUAAUCGGAAUUACUGGGCGUAAAGCGCACGUAGUCGGCUUUGCAAGUCGGGUGUGAAAUCCCCGGGCUCAACCUGGGAACUGCAUCCGAGACUGCAUUGCUAGAGUAUGGGAGAGGGAAGCGGAAUUUCUGGUGUAGCAGUGAAAUGCGUAGAUAUCAGAAGGAACAUCAGUGGCGAAGGCGGCUUCCUGGACCAAUACUGACGAUCAGGUGCGAAAGCGUGGGGAGCAAACAGG
rnacentral:rRNA from 1 species